rnacentral:pre_miRNA from 14 species
CCACAGAAUGCGUCCAGUAUCAAAAUCACAUCAAAGAGAAUACGGUGGAUUUUGUAUGAGACGCAUUCCGUGGC